CUCGUAGGCGGUUCGUCGCGUCCGGUGUGAAAGCCCAUCGCUUAACGGUGGAUCCGCGCCGGGUACGGGCGGGCUUGAGUGCGGUAGGGGAGACUGGAAUUCCCGGUGUAACGGUGGAAUGUGUAGAUAUCGGGAAGAACACCAAUGGCGAAGGCAGGUCUCUGGGCCGUUACUGACGCUGAGGAGCGAGAGCGUGGGGAGCGAACA
rnacentral:rRNA from 1 species